rnacentral:rRNA from 1 species
UACGUAGGGGGCGAGCGUUAUCCGGAAUUACUGGGCGUAAAGGGUGCGUAGGCGGCCUUUUAAGUCAGAUGUGAAAGGCUACGGCUUAACCGUAGUUAGCAUUUGAAACUAAGAGGCUUGAGUGCAGGAGAGGAGAGUGGAAUUCCUAGUGUAGCGGUGAAAUGCGUAGAUAUUAGGAGGAACACCAGUGGCGAAGGCGACUCUCUGGACUGCAACUGACGCUGAGGCACGAAAGCGUGGGUAGCGAACA